GACGAACGCUGGCGGCGCGCCUAACACAUGCAAGUCGAACGAGAGAUGAGGAGCUUGCUCUUCAAAUCGAGUGGCGGACGGGUGAGUAACGCGUGAGGAACCUGCCUCAAAGAGGGGGACAACAGUUGGAAACGACUGCUAAUACCGCAUAAGCCCAUGGCUCGGCAUCGAGCAGAGGGAAAAGGAGUGAUCCGCUUUGAGAUGGCCUCGCGUCCGAUUAGCUAGUUGGUGAGGUAACGGCCCACCAAGGCGACGAUCGGUAGCCGGACUGAGAGGUUGAACGGCCACAUUGGGACUGAGACACGGCCCAGACUCCUACGGGAGGCAGCAGUGGGGAAUAUUGCACAAUGGGGGAAACCCUGAUGCAGCGACGCCGCGUGGAGGAAGAAGGUCUUCGGGUCGUAAACUGCUUUUAUAAGUGAAGAAUAUGACGGUAGCUUAUGAAUAAGCACCGGCUAACUACGUGCCAGCAGCCGCAGUAACAC
rnacentral:rRNA from 1 species